GUGAACGCUGGCGGUAGGCCUAACACAUGCAAGUCGCACGGCAGCACAGUAAGCGCUUGCUCUUACGGGUGGCGAGUGGCGGACGGGUGAGGAAUACAUCGGAAUCUACUUUUUCGUGGGGGAUAACGUAGGGAAACUUACGCUAAUACCGCAUACGACCUACGGGUGAAAGCAGGGGAUCUUCGGACCUUGCGCGAUUGAAUGAGCCGAUGUCGGAUUAGCUAGUUGGCGGGGUAAAGGCCCACCAAGGCGACGAUCCGUAGCUGGUCUGAGAGGAUGAUCAGCCACACUGGAACUGAGACACGGUCCAGACUCCUACGGGAGGCAGCAGUGGGGAAUAUUGGACAAUGGGCGCAAGCCUGAUCCAGCCAUACCGCGUGGGUGAAGAAGGCCUUCGGGUUGUAAAGCCCUUUUGUUGGGAAAGAAAAGCAGCAGGUUAAUACCCCGCUGUUCUGACGGUACCCAAAGAAUAAGCACCGGCUAACUUCGUG
rnacentral:rRNA from 1 species